rnacentral:tRNA from 1 species
GCACCGGUGGUUCAGUGGUAGAAUUCUCAUUUUCCAUGCAAGAGACCCAGGUUUGAUUCCCGGCCAAUGUA